rnacentral:lncRNA from 10 species
AAGCUCCGCCUCCUGGGUUCACGCCAUUCUCCUGCCUCAGCCUCCUGAUUAACUGGGACUGCAGAAGCCCACCACCACACCCGGCUAAUCUUUUGUGUUUUUAGUAGAGACGGGGUUUCAUCCUGUUAGCCAGGAUGGUCUCGAUCUCCUGACCUCGUGAUCUGCCCGCCUCCGCAUCCCAAAGUGCUGGGAUUGCAGGCUUGAGCCACCGCACCUGGCCACAUUCAAGAUACUUUUCUCUUGUCUCCUGGCUUCUAAUGUUGCAGUGAAGAAGUCAGCUACAAAUCUAAUUGCCGUUUCUUUAUGUGUCUUACUCUGUCACCCAGGCUAGAGUGCAAUGCCAUGAUCUCCGCUCACUGCAACCUCCACCUCCUGGGUUCAAGCAAUUCUCCUGCCUAAGCUUCCAGAGUAGCUGGAAUUACAAGUGCCCAGCACCAU